UUACUUUUUCCGAGGGCGGGGAGGGCUCAGUCCGCCCGGGCUCCCGCCGCCGCCGCCUCCGCUCCGCGCUGGGCCCCGCCGCUGCCAUAAAAUGUUUGACGGCUGCCUCUUGCCUCUCGUGUUUCCCUGCCUGCUGCUUUGGGGACUGGACGCCGGCACAGCUGGCGGAGCGGAGCUGGAAGUGGUGAUCCCGGAGCGAGUGGCGCUGGAGAAGAUCCACCUGCUGCCGCCCGCCGUGCGACGGGAUCGCGGCGGCCCCCGGCGCCGGCGGGCGCUGCCGCGGCAACGGGCGGCGGAGGAGGGGGCCCUGCUGCUCCGCCUGCCCGCCGCCGGCGCCGAGCUCUACCUGCACCUCCACCGCGACCUGCGCUUCCUCGCCCGGGGCUUCGUGGUGGAGCAGCGGCCCGGGCAGGCGCGGCGGGCGGCCGGCCCCCGGCGGCCCCCGGAGGAGCGGCUCUGCUUCUACACGGGACGCGUGCUGAACCGCAGCGACUCCUUCGCCUCCCUCAGCACCUGCGCCGGGCUGGUUGGCUAUAUCCAGAUUGGAUCAGAGCAAAUGCUAAUACAACCAGUGAACACAUCAGAAACCUCCUUUAGUGGAAAAGAACACUUCAUCAGGCGCAGGCGAUCCACAAAAUCAAGUCAUCCCGUGAAGUCACGCGUUCCUGAUGAGCACUGCAAGGUUGUAGCAGAAAAGAAGAGACACAAGAAAAUGAAAUCAACCAGUGACUGGAGGGAGAGACGAAACGCCAUUCGACUGACCAACGAGUACACAGUAGAAACUCUGGUGGUGGCAGAUGCUGAUAUGGUCCAAUACCACGGUGCAGAGGCUGCCCAGAGAUUCAUCCUCACAGUUAUGAAUAUGGUGUACAACAUGUUUCAACAUCAAAGUCUCGGAAUUAAAGUCAACAUUCGAGUCACCAAACUUGUCCUGCUUCGGAGCCGUCCUGCAAAGUUAUCUAUUGGGCAUCAUGGAGAGAGAUCUCUGGAGAGCUUUUGUCAAUGGCAAAAUGAAGAAUAUGGUGGGGCAAAAUACCUUGGCAAUAACCAGGUACCUGGCGCAAGGGAUGACACCCCUCCUGUGGAUGCUGCUGUUUUUGUAACCAGGACAGAUUUCUGCGUACACAAAGACGAGCCUUGUGACACUGUGGGAAUUGCUUACCUGGGAGGUGUCUGCAGUGCCAAGAGAAAGUGUGUUCUUGCUGAAGACAACGGUCUCAAUCUGGCGUUUACAAUUGCGCAUGAACUUGGGCACAACAGCAUGGGAAUGAGCCAUGAUGAUGAUCAUCAACCCUGCGCAGGGAGGUCUCAUAUUAUGUCUGGAGAAUGGGUGAAGGGCAGGAACCCAAGUGACCUUUCCUGGUCUUCAUGCAGCCGCGAUGACCUUGAAAACUUCCUAAAGUCCAAGGUCAGCACCUGUUUGCUGGUAACAGACCCCCGAAGCCAGUACGCAGUGCGGCUCCCUCACAAGCUGCCUGGAAUGCACUACAGUGCCGACGAACAGUGCCAGAUACUUUUUGGGACCAACGCUACAUUCUGUAAGAAUAUGGAGCAUUUGAUGUGUGCUGGGCUCUGGUGCCUGGUGGAAGGAGAUACAUCCUGUAAAACAAAGUUGGACCCCCCACUGGAUGGCACUGAAUGUGGCGCAGACAAGUGGUGCCGAGCUGGGGAGUGUGUCAGUAAAACUCCCAUCCCGGAGCACGUGGAUGGAGACUGGAGCAUGUGGAGUCAGUGGAGCAUGUGCAGCCGGACGUGUGGCACUGGAGUGCGAUUCAGACAGCGAAAAUGCGACAAUCCCCCCCCAGGGCCAGGUGGGAAGAACUGCCGGGGAGCCAGCGUGGAACACACUGUGUGUGAGAACCUACCCUGCCCUAAAGGUGUGCCGAGCUUCAGGGACCAACAGUGCCAGGCUCAUGACAGGUACACCAACAAGAAGAAAAGCCUCCUGACAGCUGUCGUUGUUGAUGAUAAGCCGUGUGAGCUCUUCUGCUCUCCCCUGGGGAAGGAUUCCCCAGUGCUGGUGACAGACAGAGUCCUCGAUGGUACUCCCUGUGGGCCUUACGAGACUGACCUCUGUGUACACGGCAAGUGCCAGAAAAUUGGCUGCGAUGGAAUCAUUGGCUCAGCUGCCAAAGAGGAUCGCUGUGGAAUCUGCAGUGGUGAUGGCAAAACCUGUAAAGUGGUGAAAGGCGACUUCAACCACACCAAGGGGAUGGUAACCAAUAGUCAUUGUAAGAAGGUUUCCACAUGUGUGAUGGCAAAGGCAAAGGCUGUUCCCAAGUGUUUCUCGUGUUACAUCGAAGCAGCUGUAAUCCCUGCAGGUGCCCGGCGGAUCAGAGUGGUUGAGGAUAAACCUGCUCACAGUUUUCUGGCUUUAAAAGAUUCCAGUAAGAGAUCCAUUAACAGCGACUGGAAAAUUGAGCUUCCUGGUGAGUUUCAGAUCGCAGGCACUACUGUCCGGUACGUGCGAAGGGGUCUGUGGGAGAAAAUCUCUGCCAAAGGACCAACUAAAAUACCACUGCACUUGAUGGUGCUGCUAUUUCAUGACCAGAAUUAUGGAAUUCAUUAUGAAUACACCAUUCCUGUAAACUAUACUGCUGAAAACAGAAGCGAGCCAGAAAAGCAACAGGAUUCUCUGUACAUCUGGACGCACAGCGGAUGGGAAGGCUGCAGCGUGCAGUGUGGAGGAGGUGAACGAAAAACCAUUGUGUCCUGUACUCGAAUUAUUAACAAGACCAUGACACUGGUGAAUGACAGUGACUGUCAACGAGUGAAUCGCCCCGAGCCCCAGGUCAGGAAAUGUAACACACACCCCUGCCAGUCACGGUGGGUGACUGGCCAUUGGAGUCCCUGCUCUGCUACUUGCGAGAAAGGUGUCCAGCACCGGGAAGUGACCUGUGUUUAUCAGUUGCAAAAUGGCACCUACGUUAACACAAGAGACCUCUACUGCCUUGGCAACAAACCAGCAACAGUACAAAACUGUGAAGGACGGGACUGCCUUUCUAUCUGGGAAGCAUCAGAGUGGUCAAAGUGCUCUGCAGAUUGUGGCAAGGGGAUUCAGAAAAGAACAGUGACGUGCACAAAUUCUCAAGGAAAAUGUGAUGCAGCCACCAGGCCGAGAGAUGAGGAAGAGUGUGAGGAUCACACAGGCUGUUACGAAUGGAAAACGGGAGACUGGUCUAAGUGCUCCUCAACCUGUGGGAAGGGCCUCCAGUCACGAGUGGUCCAGUGUAUGCACAAGGUCACCGGGCGCCACGGCAAUGAGUGCCCUGUCCUGUCCAAGCCAGCGGCCUACAGGCAGUGCCACCAAGAGGUCUGCAAUGAGAAGAUAAACGUCAACACAAUUACCUCGCCCAGACUUGAAACGGGCUGGUUUUCCUGGAGAGAGACUUUCCAAUAGCAUCACUGCCUUGGACAAGCAGGACUGCAGCAUCUUCACUUUGGAUGGGAAAAACUGUCUGCUUAUAAAAGGAAAGCUUAAACAAGAGAGAAUAUAAGCAGAGAUGGACCACAAACUCCCCUUAGCAGUAGCUACCCAGAAAGGAAUCCGUGAGUCUCCAAAGCUGACCUCCAUGUGUCUUGCAUCACCUCAUCUCCUUUAAUGCCACUUUCAUGUGACAGAGCCCACAAAGAACGCCUAGAGGCUGCACUUUACCACAUUGCUGAUUUUGUCAGAACUGCUGUGACUGCCAAAUGGUGGCCAGACACUCAGACAGACUUUCCCAGUUAGCAGAGUCCUGCAGCUGAUGUCUGGGCCUUGCAAAUGUGUUCCCUGUGUGCUGCCACAGCCGAGAUGCUGGCCGGGUCCUCAUGGCCUGGGGUAAGUAUCUGCCUCAGCCGCUGAGGGAAGCAGCCGGGCUUUCUUGAAAAUUGUGGUUUCCCUCAGCUCCUCUUGUUUGGCUGUGAAAACUCCUGUUUUGGUGUUUCAUUCUUUCAUCCUUCUGUGGCCUGGGUGGAGCUGGAGCCUUCAGUGUGACUUGUCUGGGUCACACCACAGCCCUUGGCGUCCUCCUCGACCUCGGGAGAGAGCGACUCUGCACGCUCGCCAUGGUGGAACCCACGGGACGCCUGUGUGUGGGGCCAGCUCCUGGCACAACUCGCUCUCCAGGUGAACCCUUGCAUCCUUCCAGCCUCUCCCAAGCCUCAGGGAAUUCUGGCGGUUCCACUGUAACUCCAGAGAUGCUUGCCUUGUCCUUCCUCCUCUGUUCCCCCCAGACACGCUUCGUGGCCUUGCAUGAUCAUUGGCCUUUUCCCCUCUUGCUCUGUUUGCAGCUGCCUUGCCCCCCGCAAACAUGCUUUGCACCCAGCAGAAACUUCACCUUUGCAGUCUACAAAAUACCUUCCCUCGUCUACUCAAGUGCAUUUAAUCUCCUCCCUCAGCCCUCUGAAGAAAACUAUUUUUCUCAUUGUACUCCUGUCUUAUGUCUCCCUUCACUGUUGCUUUUGUUCUGAGGCCUUUUGUAAUGAUUCUUUGUUCUUUGUGCAGUGGCAAUUAGAAGCUACAACCAGACCUGUGGAUGCUGGAAGGCCAAGCCCAAAGAAAUGGUGCUUCUCUCAAGAUCUUACAGACUGCAGGUGGUCCUGAGGAAAAGGCAGAUUCCCCAAGCAGCUCCAUGGGGUUCUUGGCAGCAGCAAUCUGGAAAGGCAUGGAGAUGAGCAUAGGCUGCUUCUGAAUCGAGUGAGUGAGCCCGUACUGCGGUUACUGCACUGGCAGGGGAGGGAAAGGGAUAUUCCCCACUGGUUUUAUAUCCUCAGACACAUUUUUUUGUUAUUGGAAGUAGCAAAGGGUAAAAUUCACAUCACUUCAGAGAUGCCCCUUACAGAAACUGGGCUGUAAGAUCCAGCCCCAAGCCUGGAUGCUGCUCAAAAUGUGGGCUGGCAGAGAGGGAAAUGCUCGUUCGUUCAGCAGGAGGAGAGCGCUGGUAGCACGCCAGUCUGUAUGGCUGGCUCCACUACUCCAAAAGGCAUCAGCUGUUGAAAAAUCACUGACAGUUUCUGUAAGGUCACUCUGUAGUACAACAUCAUUGUGCAGCCAUCCUGGAGACAGGCGGUGAAACUAUUCAGUCGAUGAAUCGUUGAAAAGAGGGUAUCCUCUAACGGGAUCUUCAGGUUGCGCAAAGAUCAGCACAAACAUGGCCUGGCCAGCAAAGCCAGACAAACCAUUCAUAGUGUUUUUUUUCAUUUUCUUGGAAAAUACAUUAUUCGAACAUUUUGCAGCUUCUAUUUAUUUCCCCAGCUCUGUAUUUUUCCCCUUGAUUUUGUCUCUGACGGCAAAAAGACCCAACCAGACUGCAGCUUUGUUUGGCACCAAACUUUCCUCCUGAGAUGAUCGCACAAGAAGCCUUUUAUCACUUUGGCGGCUCAGAGCCAGAGCUGCUUGUGGUGGAAGUCGCCGGGACUGUAACCCCGGGCUGUCGUGGGACGAGAGUCAAGCUUGGGCUGUCAGCAAGGCGAGUUGCAGCCGUCGGAGCCCCUGCCAGGACACGUCAGUACUUCUGAGCAUGCUUCCCCCAGUGCUGCUCUCAUUAAGGAAAAGUUUUCUCACAGAGCUGAUUCACUGUCUGUGCCACUUGUGCUGCGUUGGCUUCGGCACUGUCACCUCUGCUUUAUGCCCAGAUCUGUGCCAAGGAAGGACAGUCCUGCUGAACUACCAGACUGCCGGUCCCUGCAUCUGUUCUUGCUUGCAACUUUUUCCCUGCACCAUUUCACAACACUGGCCAACAAUAUCUUGAGGAGGGGACUGUGACACUGAGCCCAAGAAACACCGUCAGUCAUGUUUCCUGGAGGGUUAAAGGAAGAUGUGGGUGGCAUGGAAGGAUCUUCUCUGACUGAAGGGCCAUGGGACUCAGAAGAGCCAUAUUGUGCAUCUCUCGUCCACGUUGGCUAGUAUUUGGAGCCCUCCAGGCAAGUACUGGUUGGCAAGGAAGGCUGGGGAGAUGCGGUUGCUCCAGCUCACUUCCAAAGCAAGUUUCAGUGUGCUGUUGUUAAAUGGAGAUGUUUGGAUACACCAGCAGCUGAGUCACACACAGCCAUGAGCAGUCUCCAUGUGACCCUGAUCCCCUCCAGGGACAAGGUCAUAAAGUGGCUGAGGGGCUGAAAUGACACCAGUCACAUCACUGCUGUGUAUUGAUUACCCAUCUGUCCAUGGGGAAGGGGUUUUUCACACUGAAUCUGGAGCCUGAAUUCAAGGGGAACUGAGCUCCUCUUGUUUCCUAAGUUCCUGUGAUGAACUGGCAGACAAAAAAGGAAGAUGUUCUUGCAGAGCGGGGCAGAAGCCAAAUUUUAGUGUUUGGCCUCUGUAGCCAAAGGAGCAUCUGCCUAUUGGCUACAUGAGCAGUCUCCUCAGGGGACAGACAUCCCUCAGCAGUCCCUAAUAUUUGCGAAGUUCUCUGAGAUCUCUCAGUGAAAGACCUUUUAGAUGUGCAAAAGUUUAUAGCCCUUCUCUGACCAUUGCUGAUUUUAGAGGGUUAAGUUAGGAAAAGGAAAUACUGCGACUAAAGGAAAGCCAUUAAUGUUACAUUCUACCAUUUGCCAGAUAGUCUUGUGUUAUCUUUGCUCUUUCAUGAAAUAUUUUCCAAUUUUCCUUGCAGGGCAUUCUUUACAGGGGUAGCAACUGAGGAGAUGUAACUUGGCACAUCUCCACCUGCUUUUCUGUAGCAGUGCACAUUUGUGCUCAGGGAUUUGAAGAAUUUCCUCUGCCUCUAGAAUUGAUAUGCAAACAGUCAGCUGUACAGACAUCAAUCUGUCCAGUAGACAUGCCGCAUGACCUAAGAAAUAAUACAGGUGGUCAGCACCAUGCUGGUGAUUCCUCGAUUUCUGGAGCAAACAGACUCAUUUUACGAUGUCCAGAAGAUGGGAGGUCCUGUAUACACCCUCCAGUAAUGUAAUCUGCUGUGCUUGACUGAUCACAAAACACCCACCAAGAGUUCCCUAACAAAAUUAUUGACUUCUGCCAAGGAAAGCAAAGAUUUGCAGGAAAUGAGAGCUGUGACCUUUCCACCUCACAAAUAGCUUGGAGAUCUCAAGAUGCUCAUCUCAGCAGAGAGAUGCUUGUGCCAGAGCAAACGUGGAGCCCUGUGUGGUCAGUGCACAGCCCUUCCAGCAUCCCUCGCUUUACUGCCUCCAACAAACAUCAAUUCUGUUGUGAUAAAAACAGAAAUGGGCCAACUUAGUCUUCCUCUGUCUGUUUGCUCUGUUGCUGUAAGUCAUACUAUGUAUAGGUUCUGCUAUGUCAGCAGGUAUGGGAUGAGGGAUGUUAAGUCUGGGAGAGAUGAGUGUUGCUGGCUGUGUAACCCAGCUCAUACCAUCUGUCCCACUAGUGAUUUCAUCACAGCCAAAAGCUGCAUGCUUGAGCUGCUCUGCACCCUGUGGGCAGCUGAAGCCUAAGGGAAAAAUUUCAAAGAGAAAGAAUGGGGCUCCAGAGACCCCCAUAACUCUAAGCAAGUUGUUCUCUAGGGCAGUCAGCGUUUCUGUUAAAGGGAAGUCUUCCAUGUCCCGUUGACGCCUCUCUUGUUGCAGGGAGAGUGACUCUUCUGCUCCUGAAGGCCCAAACUGCAGACACAGCCUUGGAAGGGAAGCUUGCUCUCACGGCUACGGCAAAGGAAUGGGAAGCACGAGAUCUGGCAUGAAGUCCUACUCCCAUUGAAGCCAGUGGGAUGUUUGCCAUUGGCUUCGAGGGAAGCCAAGAUUUCAGUCUGCAGCCAGAUCUGCUGGUGUGUUGAGCUGUGCUGAGAGCAGGACCAAAAAGGGUUCUUGGUUUCCUGAUGAAGCUGUUACUCCCUCGGCUCCUCUGCUGCAGUUAGCUGGUCUCUCACCUCACAUUGCCCCCUGCUUGCUGUCAUGUUUUCAAAUCUCAUUUUUAGGCCAGAAAGCUUUUGAGGAACAGACUAGCUGCAUGGAUGUGCCCGUUGUAUUGUCCCAUGACUGGAGCUCCUAGGCAUCUCCACCAGCAAAAUCACCCCCUUCGUUGCGGAUUAUGGACAGUGCAAGAGAAUGGCAUACAGCAAUAGCACAGGGCUGGGAUAGGGGACUAAGUGAAGUAAGACAUACAGGACUUGCUCCAGGUAAAUAACUGUGCCUUUUCCUUCAGGCAGCAGCUUGAAUUAGCUCUAGAAUUAACUCUGUGUGGUUCAAGAGAGCCUGAAGAGAUUGUAAAGGUGAUCCAAGGCUGGGCUUCCCUGCUUCACACCCUCACACCAAAGUGAGCUGUUGGUAAUCUUGAUUUUACAAGCACCCCUUUUUCUCAUCUCCUCUCUUUCAAGGUGAGGUGGCAGCCAAUUUGCAUUAGUGAUGAAACAUGACUUAGGUACUCGUGAGCCUGACAGUAAACCUUUCCCAAAUUAUUGUUGUUCCCCCUGCUAAGAAGUUGUCAUGCUGCUGUAGUGAUAUAAGUGCUAAGCAGUGCAUUAUAUGGUGCUCCCCGAUGCAUUAUACAUCCUUGUGGCAGCUCCUGCACCCACACGGCAUCCAUGUUUUGGCAGGGUUAGUGCCCUCCUCUGAAAAGAAGGUGAAGAAAGUGAUCUCAGAGUGGACUGAGAUUACUGCAGCCCCAUUUGGGCCUAUACAGGCCCUGUUGUUUUUAUUUUAAUGGACACAUGGUGGAGCCUCUGUGUGCCAACAACAACAAAAAAAACACAUUGCAAAUGAUUCUUGCUCUUUAUUUCUCCCUGAUCAGGUCGUAUCUUCCUGUUCAGUGUGUGGGUUUGGUCUCUGCUGCCCCUUUCUGGAAACAUCUAUAAGUGCAUCACAUCUAUAAAAAAACGGAUGAAGGUUUGUCUCCUGGAUCAAGAAGCUGCCCCGGCUCUCCUCACCUGUCCAGAUGCCACGUGUUUGACAGCAUCUUCUCCUCCUGGCCAUAGCUUGUGUCCUCUGGCCAUCUGGGACUUGAUCUCACUCCUUUGACACUUCCACAAAGGGCAGCUGGUGAGAGCAGCUUUCUGGUGUGACCACUUAAACCACCAGCUUGUACCUGAGGGCAUUCAGCUUCAACCCAAGACCCUGCAAGGACAGUCAGCAACAGGAGUAGUGCUGCUUAUAUGCAGAUUUGCCCAUGGCUGUGUUUGGAACCUGCUGAGCUAGACAAGUGCUUCCAACAGGAGAAACCACUGAAAGA